CUACAUUGCAUGGCAAGAAGAAGGCUGGGAAGAUGAUCCUUCCUCAGGAUUUUUCACUUGUUGGUACUUUCUGCAGGGUUCCUGUCCCAAAGGAAAUUUCAGGAUCGAGGCAGUCUUAGGAAGAGUGAAGCCAGCUCUUUCCAAGGGCUGGGGAAGUUCCUGUGGAGAGAGCCUUGGGAACUUCAGUUUCCUCUGAUACUUCAGUGGCCAUGUCUCAGCAAGGAGACGACCGCAGUUCCAAUUCCUGCUGUGUGAGUGGAAAGAAGCGGUGCGGUGCGGUUCCCUGUGUUUGGGAGCAGCAGCCAGCAGGCUGCCAGAGAUCCAACUGCGCCUUGCAGCGCACAGAAGGAUGCGAUGGGGACAGACUGUCCUUUCUGCCAUGCAAAAGGACGGAGCCUGCACAUCCAUGGAGUGGUGCUGGGCGAGGGGGGAAACGGAAAGCCUCCGCAGAAGCUGAUGUGAGCGGCCUUCCAGCAAAGCGCAGCCUUGCAGAAAGACAAGGCAGAAGUGCCCAGUGUGGCACAGCACCGGAGAGAGAGAGAGGUGCUGAGCCAAAUGGAAAGAUCUACAUGAAAGUGAUGCAGAAAGUCCUUUCGGAGAGAGCUCAUCUCCAGGCUGGAGGGCUUCCUACAACAGCAGGUUCCAGUGCACGG
ensembl:lncRNA